rnacentral:tRNA from 1 species
AGAUCCGCCAAUCGCGGGACUGAAAAUCCUGGUGUCGCCGGUUCGAUUCCGGCUCUGCCCA